rnacentral:rRNA from 1 species
AUUGAACGCUGGCGGCGUGCUUAACACAUGCAAGUCGAACGCGAAAGGGACUUCGGUCCUGAGUAAAGUGGCGCACGGGUGAGUAACGCGUGGAUAAUCUGCCCUUAUGAUCGGGAUAACAGUUGGAAACGGCUGCUAAUACCGGAUACGCUCAAAAUGAACUUUUUGAGGAAAGAUGGCCUCUGCUUGCAUGCUAUCACGUAAGGAUGGAGUCCGCGUCCCAUUAGCUUGUUGGCGGGGUAACGGCCCACCAAGGCAACGAUGGGUAGCCGAUUUGAGAGGAUGAUCGGCCACACUGGAACUGAAACACGGUCCAGACUCCUACGGGAGGCAGCAGUGGGGAAUAUUGCGCAAUGGGCGAAAGCCUGACGCAGCGACGCCGCGUGAGGGAUGAAAAGGUUUUCGGAUCGUAAACCUCUGUCAGAAGGGAAGAAACUACGUUGUGCUAAUCAGCAGCGUACUGACGGUACCUUCAAAGGAAGCACCGGCUAACUCCGUGCCAGCAGCUGC